UAUUGGACAAUGGGGGGAACCCUGAUCCAGCGACGCCGCGUGAGUGAAGAAGUAUCUCGGUAUGUAAAGAUCUAACAGCAGGGAAGAGGAAAUGACGGUACCUGCCUAAGAAGCUCCGGCUAACUACGUGCCCGCAGCCGCGGUAAUACGUAGGGGGCAAGCGUUAUCCGGAUUUACUGGGUGUAAAGGGAGCGUAGACGGUGAUGCAAGUCAGAAGUGAAAGCCCGGGGCUCAACUCCGGGACUGCUUUUGAAACUGUGUGACUGGAGUGCAGGAGAGGUAAGCGGAAUUCCUGGUGUAGCGGUGAAAUGCGUAGAUAUCAGGAGGAACACCAGUGGCGAAGGCGGCUUACUGGACUGUAACUGACGUUGAGGCUCGAAAGCGUGGGGAGCAAACAGG
rnacentral:rRNA from 1 species